UACAGAGGUCACAAGCGUUAUCCGGAUUUAUUGGGCGUAAAGCGUUUCGUAGGUGGGUUUAUAAGUUAUUUUUCAAAUCCCAAGGCUCAACCUUGGAAAGGGAGAUAAUACUGUAAGUCUUGAUUUUUGGUGGGGUAUCUGGAACUGAUAGUGUAGUAGUGAAAUACGUUGAUAUUAUCAGGAACUCCAAGGGCGAAGGCAGGAUACUAACCAAUUAAUGACACUGAGGAACGACAGCUAGGGGAGCGAAAGGG
rnacentral:rRNA from 1 species